rnacentral:rRNA from 1 species
UGGGGAAUUUUGGACAAUGGGCGCAAGCCUGAUCCAGCCAUGCCGCGUGCGGGAAGAAGGCCUUCGGGUUGUAAACCGCUUUGUCAGGGAAGAAAUCUUCUGAGUUAAUACCUCGGGAGGAUGACGGUACCUGAAGAAUAAGCACCGGCUAACUACGUGCCAGCAGCCGCGGUAAUACGUAGGGUGCAAGCGUUAAUCGGAAUUACUGGGCGUAAAGCGUGCGCAGGCGGUUUUGUAAGACAGAGGUGAAAUCCCCGGGCUCAACCUGGGAACUGCCUUUGUGACUGCAAGGCUUGAGUGCGGCAGAGGGGGAUGGAAUUCCGCGUGUAGCAGUGAAAUGCGUAGAUAUGCGGAGGAACACCGUGGCGAAGGCAAUCCCCUGGGCCUGCACUGACGCUCAUGCACGAAAGCGUGGGGAGCAAACAGGAUUAGAUACCCUGGUAGUCCACGCCCUAAACGAUGUCAACUGGUUGUUGGGAAGGUUCCUUCUCAGUAACGUAGCUAACGCGUGAAGUUGNCCGCCUGGGGAGUACGGCCGC